UUGUGUGGCCAAAACCUCCUUAUUAAAGCAUAAUCUUGAUCUCAGAAGCUAAGCAGGGCCAGGCCUGGUUAGGACUCGGAUGGGAGAUCACUGGGAAUAUCAGGUGUCACAGUGG
rnacentral:rRNA from 1 species